UGAAUGAUAUACCGCGUUAUUUCUUCGAGAUGAACUGAAAACGUUGCUUCCGGCCGAGCCUAGCAAUCAACCAACGACGUUGGUCCGAACCGUCCACGGCCCCUCCCCGAACCCUGACACGCUUACCCAAACCCCGGGAGCGGAAGAGGGAGAGAGAGAUGCUGAGAAGAAGCAGAUUUUUGAACAUCCCGAUGGUCAUGGGCGCUGUCCUGAUUGGAGUUGUCUCUGGCAAGGCAAUAUUCGGUCCUCCAUUGGAAGAGUACUGGAGAAAGAAGCUUGAAGAGGAGGCGAAGACGAAUGCUGAAACAAAGUAGCUUAAACUGACUCUUGCUAAGAUAAAGUUCACUCUGCUUAAUGGCAUAUCUUUAUGCUCUUAUAAUGUAAUUUUAUUGUUUCCAUUGAAAUGAAUAAAUAUGAUCUCUCGUCGC